AGAGGGUGCGAGCGUUAAUCGGAAUUACUGGGCGUAAAGGGUGCGUAGGUGGCCUUAUAAGUCAGAUGUGAAAGCCCUGGGCUUAACCUGGGAACUGCAUUUGAAACUAUGAGGCUAGAGUUUGGUAGAGGGAAGUGGAAUUUCCGGUGUAGCGGUGAAAUGCGUAGAUAUCGGAAGGAACACCAGUGGCGAAGGCGACUUCCUGGGCCACAACUGACACUGAGGCACGAAAGCGUGGGGAGCGAACAGGAUUAGAUACCCUGGUAGUCCACGCUGUAAACGAUGAGUACUAGAUGUUAGGGAGCUUAGACUCUUUAGUAUUGUAGCUAACGCGCUAAGUACUCCGCCUGGGGACUACGGCCGCAAGGUUA
rnacentral:rRNA from 1 species